CACCCAUACUGGGUCAGACCUAAGGUCCAUGUAUCCCAGGAUCCUGUCUUUGAACAGUGGCCAGUGCCAGAUGCCCCAGAGGAAAUGAACAGAACAGGGAAUCAUCAAGUGAUCCAUCCCCUGUCACCCAU